rnacentral:lncRNA from 1 species
AAGGAUGUAUAUAUCACUGAAGAAAAUGGUGUGUGUAUGACUAUGAGCAAUACCAAACUUCCACAAUUCACACUGUAUCACAAACAUAUAUACUAAUCAAAUUUGACUUUUUUCAUCUACGCUUGAAAUAGUAUUAGUAACUGUUAUCGCAUUUUUUUAAGUUCUGUACGUACAUACAGAGUAGUAGGUACUCACCCAGAGUUCCCCAACCCACAUUUGACAUUCCCAAAUCGCUCUUGAUCUCGUCGGCCGUCGCCGUCGGGUCCGUCCGGCUUGCAAGCACCACCACGCCGUCAGACUCACAGUCACGCUCCUCUACCCAUCUGGCCUGAGCGCAUAGCAUCUGCUGGCCUGAGCGCAUAGCAUCUGCUGGCCAGAGCCAGACCAUGCUGUUGCAGGUGGCCUCUAUGCUGGAGGCGGCCACCACAGCAUCUCGGGGCUAGGCGAGGAGUAGUGACAGCGGCUGCUAUUGUAUCUCUGCCCCGACUCCAAAUUGAUACCCCACUCGUCGUCCUUCCAUGUGUUGAGCUGGGCGACAUAGACGCCGCCGUCCGGGUCGACCGUCUCAUCCAGUCCUCGCUGACGGCCCGCUUGGAUCCCGCGCCACCAUGCCCAGGGUUGAGGCAGAGGUCAGGAGGAAGCGCCGAUGGCAGCAUGUGGAGGGUGGAGGGUUCGAUGGUCGCCCCGAAGGAGGAGGACCCGAAUAUGGGGUAGGGCACCGGCGGCGGUAGGUCGAGCCGCGAUGGGUCGACUGGACCGAGGAGGAGUGUAUGGCUUGUACCGACGGAAAUAGGAAAACGAAAUUCUGGUGGCACUUUUUUCACCUCUUCCUUCUAUUUAGCAGCAUAAGAUGGCAUGGAUCUAUUUCCUCCGUGGUGGAGUAUGGUCAGUCAAUGUAAAUUACUAAGUGCACACAGUGAAUGGAUUGGGUUAAUUCUAUCUGUUAGAUUGAGAUUUGUGGGCCUAAUCGUAUGUUGCUGAUUGGGUGCGCGGUGUCGUGGGGCUAAUUACGGGGUGCACGUAAGAAAGUUCUUGUUUGAUUGUUUAAUAGUAGUGGAGAUGUUAUACAUUAUUUCCAGGAUCCAAAAAUGAGUGCCAACGUUUUGGCGAAACGUUG